AGAAUUGAGAGGGGUUGCUCCUAGUACGAGAGGACCGGAGUGAACGAACCGCUGGUGUUCGGGUUGUCAUGCCAAUGGCACUGCCCGGUAGCUACGUUCGGAACUGAUAAGCGCUGAAAGCAUCUAAGCGCGAAGCAGGCCUCGAGAUGAGUUCUCACUAGACUUUUAAAGUCUCUGAAGGGCCGUUGAAGACUACAACGUUGAUAGGCAGGAUGUGGAAGUGGUGUGAGCCAUUAAGCUAACCUGUACUAAUUACCCGUGAGGCUUAACCAUACAACGCCAAACGCGUUU
rnacentral:rRNA from 1 species